AUUGAACGCUGGCGGCAGGCCUAACACAUGCAAGUCGAACGGUAACAGGAAGCAGCUUGCUGCUUUGCUGACGAGUGGCGGACGGGUGAGUAAUGUCUGGGAAACUGCCUGAUGGAGGGGGAUAACUACUGGAAACGGUAGCUAAUACCGCAUAACGUCGCAAGACCAAAGAGGGGGACCUUCGGGCCUCUUGCCAUCGGAUGUGCCCAGAUGGGAUUAGCUAGUAGGUGGGGUAACGGCUCACCUAGACGACGAUCCCUAGCUGGUCUGAGAGGAUGACCAGCCACACUGGAACUGAGACACGGUCCAGACUCCUACGGGAGGCAGCAGUGGGGAAUAUUGCACAAUGGGCGCAAGCCUGAUGCAGCCAUGCCGCGUGUAUGAAGAAGGCCUUCGGGUUGUAAAGUACUUUCAGCGGGGAGGAAGGGAGUAAAGUUAAUACCUUUGCUCAUUGACGUUACCCGCAGAAGAAGCACCGGCUAACUCCGUG
rnacentral:rRNA from 1 species